rnacentral:lncRNA from 1 species
GCCACAGCAAGUCACGAUGUGAGCGAGUCGGUGACCUACAGCACAGCGCAUGGCACACCAGAUCCUUAACCCACUGAGCGAGUCCAGGGAUCAAACCUGCAGCCUCAUGCUUUCUAGUCAGUUUUGGUUCCGCCGUGCCACAACGGGAACUCCAAUUUCCUCCUUUUGUCUGUCAGUUUCAACUAUGCAAGUCUACACUGUUCAAAUCAGUGGAGACCUACAUUUUUCCUGGGUUGGACGAGUGUUGACGGAAUGUCUCUCCCAAUGCAUGACUGAUUGAAAAAUUGACAGCAGCCUCUAGAAACUGGAAGUGCGGCUGAGAGCAAUGUUACCAGCAGAGAAUUGCCCUCCUUGCAAGAGAAUUUGGUGGGUUUUGGUCAAAGUACACAUAAGAAUUCCUACAGGAAGAUUUGAAGCCUUUGUCCAGGAUGACCUCUGUGUUUUCUUUGGGACCGUGGACUCGAGGAGUGUUUCCCUUUUGGGUUUUGCUGGCAGAAAGACCAUGAAAAUUCUCAUGUCCAUAGAGACCAGGAAGCUUAGAUUCUCACACUGUUUUCUUGCACUAGAUGCCGGCCGAUGACGCAACUAAUAAUAAUGGCAUGGCUUUGGAGCGCCCCACUCCAGUGACAAACAAUCGGGUGAAGAAGAAGAAGAUUGCAUAGGAUGCUGCUUCCGGAUCCAAAGGAACAAUCGACAGAUGUCACAAAGAUCCACCUCUGGCUGCAUCAGAAAAUUAUGCUCCUGGCUCCACCAGCGAAUGCAACGGGCUAAUGGGUCGGGGACAGUUCACCCUCGGCAUAUUUUGGUGAAGGAGUACAGCAGCUCAGAAGAUAUUCCAUCUGACCCCUCACUCAUGUUGUACGAGUGGCCUUACAGAAGCGAAUUUAUUGCGGAGAGCGUUGGCAGCAUCACUAACGAAGAUGAAGAAUGUUACAUGGCAGAUAACGAGAAUUCUGACAAGGAAAGCAGAAUUAAGCGGGUAAUCUAUUUCCUCUUUCACAUCUUUUCAUUUUCCUCUCUUUGUGUCACCCGUAGACUCUUCCUUGUAAGUCUUAACCACCUCCUUGCUCCAUCCUUUUAUGAUAUUUACCAUGAUGGAUUUGGUCUCAGAGACUGUACUUUUCCUCCCAGAAGCGGAAACGCUCCCUGUUCCUGCGUUUAA